rnacentral:rRNA from 1 species
AUACUAAAAAGACUUUAAGGGAUUAGAGUGUGCUAGCUUGCUAGAAUUUAGAUACAGGUGCUGCACGGCUGUCGUCAGCUCGUGUCGUGAGAUGUUGGGUUAAGUCCCGCAACGAGCGCAACCCUCGUGUUUAGUUGCUAACAGUUCGGCUGAGAACUCUAAACAGACUGCCUACGCAAGUAGGAGGAAGGUGAGGACGACGUCAAGUCAUCAUGGCCCUUACGGCCAGGGCUACACACGUGCUACAAUGGGGUAUACAAAGAGCAGCGAUACGGUGACGUGGAGCAAAUCUAGAAAAUGCCUCUCAGUUCGGAUUGUAGUCUGCAACUCGACUACAUGAAGUUGGAAUCGCUAGUAAUCGUAGAUCAGCAAUGCUACGGUGAAUACGUUCCCGGGUCUU